GAUGGAAUAAUGUAGGUAAGGGAAGUCGGCAAAUUAGAUACGUAACUUCGGAGGAUUGGCUCUGAAGAUUAAG
rnacentral:ncRNA from 1 species